rnacentral:rRNA from 1 species
AUUGAACGCUGGCGGCAUGCCUUACACAUGCAAGUCGAACGGUAACGCGGGGCAACCUGGCGACGAGUGGCGAACGGGUGAGUAAUGUAUCGGAACGUGCCCAGUUGUGGGGGAUAACUGCUCGAAAGAGCAGCUAAUACCGCAUACGACCUGAGGGUGAAAGCGGGGGAUCGCAAGACCUCGCGCAAUUGGAGCGGCCGAUAUCAGAUUAGGUAGGUGGUGGGGUAAAGGCUCACCAAGCCAACGAGCUGUAGCUGGUCUGAGAGGACGACCCGCCACACUGGGACUGAGACACGGCCCAGACUCCUACGGGAGGCAGCAGUGGGGAAUUUUGGACAAUGGACGCAAGUCUGAUCCAGCCAUGCCGCGUGCGGGAAGAAGGCCUUCGGGUUGUAAACCGCUUUUGUCAGGGAAGAAACGCUCUGGGUUAAUACCUCGGGGUAAUGACGGUACCUGAAGAAUAAGCACCGGCUAACUACGUGCCAGCCGCCGCCGUAA